rnacentral:rRNA from 1 species
GAUGAACGCUGGCGGCGUGCCUAACACAUGCAAGUCGAACGAAGCGCCUUACCGGAUUCUUCGGAUGAAGGUCUGGUGACUGAGUGGCGGACGGGUGAGUAACGCGUGGGUAACCUGCCCUGUACAGGGGGAUAACAGCUGGAAACGGCUGCUAAUACCGCAUAAGCGCACGAGGAGACAUCUCCUUGUGUGAAAAACUCCGGUGGUACAGGAUGGGCCCGCGUCUGAUUAGCUGGUUGGCAGGGUAACGGCCUACCAAGGCAACGAUCAGUAGCCGGUCUGAGAGGAUGAACGGCCACAUUGGAACUGAGACACGGUCCAAACUCCUACGGGAGGCAGCAGUGGGGAAUAUUGCACAAUGGGGGAAACCCUGAUGCAGCAACGCCGCGUGAGUGAAGAAGUAUUUCGGUAUGUAAAGCUCUAUCAGCAGGGAAGAUAAUGACGGUACCUGACGAAGAAGCUCCGGCUAAAUACGUG